rnacentral:rRNA from 1 species
CCUACGGGAGGCAGCAGUGAGGAAUAUUGGUCAAUGGACGCAAGUCUGAACCAGCCAUGCCGCGUGCAGGAAGACGGCUCUAUGAGGUGUAAACUGCUUUUGUACGAGGGUAAACGCAGAUACGCGGAGAUGUCUGAAAGGAUCGUAAGAAAAAGGAUCGGCUAACUCCGUGCCAGCAGCCGCGGUAAUACGGAGGAUUCAAGCGUUAUCCGGAUUUAUUGGGUUUAAAGGGUGCGUAGGCGUUCGGAUAAGUUAGAGGUGAAAUCCCGAGGCUCACCUUCGGAAUUGCCUCUGAUACUGUUCGGCUAGCGCGUAGUUGCGGUAGGCGGAAUGUAUGGUGUAGCGGUGAAAUGCUU